rnacentral:rRNA from 1 species
GGCUCAGAUUGAACGCUGGCGGCAUGGCUAAAACAUGCAAGUCGAACGCGAAAGCACUUCGGUGCAAGUAGAGUGGCGAAAGGGCGAGGAAUAAGUACCUAACGUGCCUUCAGGUAAGGGAUAGCUCAUGGAAACGUGUGGUAAUACCUUAUAAUCUCUAUCUUCCGUAUGGUGGGUAGAGCAAAGGCUUGCUGCCUGAAGAUCGGGGUACUUCCUAUCAGCUUGUUGGUAAGGUAACGGCUUACCAAGGCUAAGACGGGUAGCGGGUGUGAGAGCAUGACCCGCCGCAUCGGGACUGAGACACUGCCCGGACUCCUACGGGAGGCUGCAGUAACGAAUAUUCCGCAAUGCGCGAAAGCGUGACGGAGCAAUGCCGCGUGUGGGAUGAAGCAUCUAGGUGUGUAAACCACUGUCAGGGUUUAGGAAACAAAUGACCAGACCCAAAGGAAGAGCCGGCUAACUCUGUGCCAGCAGCCGCGGUAAUACAGAGGGCUCAAGCGUUAAUCGGAAUCACUGGGCUUAAAGGGUCCGCAGGCGGAUUGGCAAGUAUCUUGUGAAAUACCAUGGCUCAACCAUGGAAUUGCUCGGUAAACUGCCAAUCUUGAACACGGUAGGGGCCAUCGGAACUCUAGGUGGAGCGGUGAAAUGCGUAGAU